rnacentral:rRNA from 1 species
AACAGAGAAGGAGCUUGCUCCUUUGACGUUAGCGGCGGACGGGUGAGUAACACGUGGGCAACCUACCCUAUAGUUUGGGAUAACUCCGGGAAACCGGGGCUAAUACCGAAUAAUCUUUUGUCCCUCAUGGGACAAUACUGAAAGACGGUUUCGGCUGUCGCUAUAGGAUGGGCCCGCGGCGCAUUAGCUAGUUGGUGAGGUAACGGCUCACCAAGGCAACGAUGCGUAGCCGACCUGAGAGGGUGAUCGGCCACACUGGGACUGAGACACGGCCCAG